UUCUCCGUGGCGCAAUUGGUUAGCGCGUCCGACUGUUAGAAUAUACUCCUCCAGAGUUGUUCUUCGGUAUCGGGAGGUUGGAAGUUCAAGCCUUCCCGGGGAAG
rnacentral:tRNA from 1 species